AGAGUUUGAUCCUGGCUCAGAACGAACGCUGGCGGCGUGGAUAAGACAUGCAAGUCGGACGGGACUGUUCGUGUAGCAAUACAUGGACAGUUCAGUGGCGAACGGGUGCGUAACACGUGAGCAACCUGCCGUGAAGUGGGGGAUAGCUCGCCGAAAGGCGAAUUAAUACCGCAUGUGGCCAGGAAGGACAUCCUUCCGACGCCAAAGCCGGGGUACGCUUCCCGAGGGGCUCGCGGCCUAUCAGCUUGUUGGUGAGGUAAUGGCUCACCAAGGCUUUGACGGGUAGCUGGUCUGAGAGGACGACCAGCCACACUGGAACUGAGACACGGUCCAGACACCUACGGGUGGCAGCAGUCGAGAAUUUUUCACAAUGGGGGAAACCCUGAUGGAGCGACGCCGCGUGGAGGAUGAAGGUUUUCGGAUUGUAAACUCCUGUCAUUAGAGAACAAGACGCACGGCCUAACUGCCCGUGCGUUGAUAGUAUCUGAAGAGGAAGAGACGGCUAACUCUGUGCCAGCAGCCGCGGUAAUACAGAGGUCUCAAGCGUUGUUCGGAUUCAUUGGGCGUAAAGGGUGCGUAGGUGGCGAUGUAAGUCGGAUGUGAAAUCUCCAAGCUCAACUUGGAAACUGCAUUCGAUACUGCGUCGCUCGAGGAUUGUAGAGGGCAUUGGAAUUCACGGUGUAGCAGUGAAAUGCGUAGAUAUCGUGAGGAAGACCAGUGGCGAAGGCGAAUGCCUGGGCAAUUCCUGACACUGAGGCACGAAGGCCAGGGGAGCGAACGGGAUUAGAUACCCCGGUAGUCCUGGCAGUAAACGGUGCACGUUUGGUGUGGGAGGAUUCGACCCCUUCCGUGCCGGAGCUAACGCGUUAAACGUGCCGCCUGGGGAGUACGGUCGCAAGAUUAAAACUCAAAGGAAUUGACGG
rnacentral:rRNA from 1 species